UGAACGAAGAGUUUGAUCCUGGCUCAGGAUGAACGCUGACAGAAUGCUUAACACAUGCAAGUCAACUUGAAUUUGGGUUUUUAACUUAGAUUUGGGUGGCGGACGGGUGAGUAACGCGUAAAGAACUUGCCUCACAGAUAGGGACAACAUUUGGAAACGAAUGCUAAUACCUGAUAUUAUGAUUACAAGGCAUCUUGUAAUUAUGAAAGCUAAAUGCGCUGAGAGAGAGCUUUGCGUCCCAUUAGCUAGUUG
rnacentral:rRNA from 1 species